rnacentral:rRNA from 1 species
GUCUACGGCCAUACCACCCUGAACGUGCCCGAUCUCAUCUGAUCUCGGAAGCUGAGCAGGGUCGGGCCUGGUUAGUACUUGGGUGGGACAAUAAACCAUGGAAGAACAAAUUGAAAAACUGGGCUUUAACA